UACGAAGGGGGCUAGCGUUGCUCGGAAUUACUGGGCGUAAAGCGCACGUAGGCGGCUCUUUAAGUCGGGGGUGAAAUCCUGGAGCUCAACUCCAGAACUGCCUUCGAUACUGAAGAGCUUGAGUCCGGGAGAGGUGAGUGGAAUUCCGAGUGUAGAGGUGAAAUUCGUAGAUAUUCGGAAGAACACCAGUGGCGAAGGCGGCUCACUGGCCCGGUACUGACGCUGAGGUGCGAAAGCGUGGGGAGCAAACAGG
rnacentral:rRNA from 1 species